CGCCAGCACCGCGCGACCCGCGAGGCGCUUCUUCGCGCCGCGACCGGCCGCGAACGCGCCAUCCCGCCAGUAACACGCGGACGCUCGUUGUAGGCGUCACGCCGAUCGCACCCGCAGCGCAGACAACAUGAGGGUAGCGCGAGCGCAUCGCACGCGUGUAAACUGUUUCGCAUCAGAGAUAAACAAACUGGAAACAACCAUGACAACAUGGUGUUUAUUGUAAAGUGUUCAAGUUAGUGUGAGGUGAUGAUUAAUAAACCAUGGGAUUUUACAAAUCGUUUUGGUGGAUUACGUUAAUUCAUCCUGCAGAGUUUAGUUUAGAUGAUACGAAGAUAAUGUGUGACGAGUACGAAUUGCAAUGAAUAAGGAUAAUUUACAGUUAAUAAUGAUUCAAGCGACGUUCAAUGACGCACAGCACCCACGCUACACCAAAGAAACAGGAUGCAUUGUUAUGCAGUUAUACAUCCACAGGUGUUCCCAUCGACGACAAUCUCGGCCGUCACAAGGAGGCAACUACGAGUAAACUCUCUCUCGGACUCGGGAGCAAUCUCCGGCCGCAGUUUGUGGGGGCCAAGCGCGUAACGAUCCGCCAACUUCCAAGUAGCUGCUGGAGUUGAGGAUUGCGGAUUUUAUGGCCGCUAAGGAGCGGAGGAAGAGCCGUAAGCCGGGCACCCUCUCGCGAGCGGGUGGGUGAACAAUGCGCGUCUUCUUCUUUGGGAUUUAUUCGCAGCUUUAAGUGGCAGUUUACACCAAGAUCCGUUGGAGGAUUCGAGAGAAAACAAUUGAAGACUAUGAUUGCAACGUAACGGCGGUGGCGGUGUGAAUAAAAUUUGUCGUUCAUAAUCAUCCCUUUAAACUAAUAACACAUUCUAUACAUUUGAAGGAGGUCUGUCCCACCUUACCUAUACCCAUGAAAAAUAACAAAAAAGAUUGGAUGCAACAAAAAAAGAAUAAAAAGGAAGAAAGCACGACGCAUGACUAUUUGGAAUCUGUGUAUAUGUAUAGUAGAAAAGCGUGUGUACUCCAUUAGUAGAGGAGAUCGCGUGCGGUAAUAAUGGGGUUUUGUCCACUUUAAAAUGUGUUAUUAAUGUGGCCCAAAUAUGAAUGAGGAGCUACAUGUUUGACAUGCCAGCCAACACGGUGUGGAUUUAAGUGGAGGUACCGUGAAGAAAUUGUGAGAAAAUGCACGUGAGAUGCGGAGAUUCAACUUCAGAUACUGGAUAUGAUCGAUGUAACCUGACUUCUGUCGUCCUAAAAAUAUUUUACAUUGAUUUGGCUAUUAGUCACUAAAUAUAGUUUAAUUUAGGUAUCCUUAUAAGAAGGUAUCUUUUUAUUGUGAUAUGGAAGAAUUUGUUACUAGCAAAACCUUAAAAUUGUUACCUAGACAAAAUGUUAUACAAAUUUCUAGUAAUUUAAGUUUUUUACUGCAUUUUAGCUAUGUAAAAAUUAGCAAACUCAAAUUUUUAUGAAACUAACAAGCUUUUGCCUGCGACUUCGUCCCGGUAGUGUUUAAUAAAAUGUAAUUCGUUUUUA